CACACGCACGUACGUCCAGGAAUGCAUCACAGCAUUCAGGAAGUCAAACACCAUCACGCUUUUGGAAUGAGCACAUUUAUUUAAGAGUAUAACUUACAGCUUGGCCAAUGUCCCAAAAUUCAGGAUUUCGGUCAAAAUUUAUUUACAAAGUUAAUAGCAGUUACUGAUGUUAGGAUUAAUGGAGGCUGUACACUUGUGAAAUCACUAGAAACCACAUCUCCAGGUGCUGCAGAAGCAAAUCUCCACUCUCAGAGGCUGGAGAGAGCACAUCUUGCAAAAGGCAAAUAAUGAAACUGCACCAAGGGAUAAGAAAGGUCACUUGUCAAGGUUGCAUUGGUCCAUGUCACCGUGAGGGGAUGAUCUCCGACAAAGAGCUCAUUUUAGCGCCAAUCCAGAGCUUUACUCAGAGUCACGUGCCAAUAGCGCCCAACUGUCUAACUUUAGAAAGCAUGACUCAUGAAAAGAGCCCUGCCUCUCCCAGGUCAGUACGCACCCCUCUCCUCUCCCAUUUGACUGGCUUUGGGCAAAGUGCUACGGUAAACAGGGGGGUAUUAUAUUCCCCAGGGCAAAUACACAUCCAGCCUCGUUAGAUCUGCCAGUGUCUGGAAUGGCACGUCUCUGUGCAGCAGAAUUGCAUGGGGCCAUAGUGACACACAGCAGGGCUACAUGGUCCCCUUGUUGAGCCACUCUGGAAUGGUAGAGGUGACUCUUUGCGUCAGAUUUUGACCUCACCUACUCUGGUGCAAAUCAGAAGUCCACUGAAGUCAGUGGGGCCAACCAGCAUAGAACUGGUCUAGAUUAGAGAACAGCCUCUCCCCGCUUUCAGCUGUCUCUGAACCUCAUGAGCAGUUAAGACUGCUGGCCACUGGGAAGCUGAUUUUUCUCCCCUCCUCCCCCUUCAAGACUGAGGAUCUAGAGUGCUUGAAUCAUCACAGCUUUUUCAACGGAGCCCUCACGUUUCAUCAUUUGAAUGUAAAAUCCCCCCCCCCUCCCACCCACCCUGACAGAGAAGCAAUCCGGGUUGUAACGGUGUCUUACAGGGAGGGAAUGGACGUCUAUAGAAAAAGCAUUUUAAAAAAUGUUCCAACAAAAUAAAUACAAGAUUAAAAAAAUUAAAACUUCCUGU
rnacentral:lncRNA from 1 species